GGCCAUAGCUUAGUGGUUAGAGCAUCUGCUUCUUGUGCAGAAGGUCCUAGGUUCAAUCCUUGGCAUCUCCA